CCUACGGGUGGCAGCAGUGGGGAAUAUUGGACAAUGGGCGAAAGCCUGAUCCAGUCAUGCCGCGUGUGUGAAGAAGGCCUUCGGGUUGUAAAGCACUUUCAGUGGGGAAGAAAGCCUUGGGGCUAAUACCCUCGAGGAAGGACAUCACCCACAGAAGAAGCACCGGCUAACUCCGUGCCAGCAGCCGCGGUAAUACGGAGGGUGCGAGCGUUAAUCGGAAUUACUGGGCGUAAAGCGCGCGUAGGCGGUCUGAUAAGCCGGUUGUGAAAGCCCCGGGCUCAACCUGGGAACGGCAUCCGGAACUGUCAGGCUAGAGUGCAGGAGAGGAAGGUAGAAUUCCCGGUGUAGCAGUGAAAUGCGUAGGGAUCGGGAGGAAUACCAGUGGCGAAGGCGGCCUUCUGGACUGACACUGACGCUGAGGUGCGAAAGCGUGGGUAGCAAACAGGAUUAGAUACCCCAGUAGUC
rnacentral:rRNA from 1 species